GAUGAACGCUGGCGGCGUGCUUAACACAUGCAAGUCGAACGGAAAGGCCCAAGCUUGCUUGGGUACUCGAGUGGCGAACGGGUGAGUAACACGUGGGUGAUCUGCCCUGCACUUCGGGAUAAGCCUGGGUAACUGGGUCUAAUACCGGAUAGGACGAUGGUUUCGAUGCCAUUCUGGAAAGUUUUUUCGGUGUGGGAUGAGCUCGCGGCCUAUCAGCUUGUUGGUGGGGUAAUGGCCUACCAAGGCGUCGACGGGUAGCCGGCCUGAGAGGGUGUACGGCCAGAUUGGGACUGAUAUACGGGCCAGACUAGUGCGGGAGGCAGCAGUGGGGAAAAUUGCACAAUGGGCGCAAGCCUGAGGCAGCGACGCCGCGUGGGGGAUGACGGCCUUCGGGUUGGAAACACCUUUCGCUAGGGAAGAAGCGUUUUUGUGACGGUACCUGAAGAAGAAGCACCGGCUAACUACGUG
rnacentral:rRNA from 1 species